GAGAGCAGCACUGCAUGAGAAGCUUCAACUUCUUCGUUCCAUUACUAAUUCUCAUGCUGUAAAUCCCUCUAUCUUUCUGUGGCCUUUGCUUCCAUUGGUUUAAUACAUGCAGUUUCCCCAUAAUUCAUCAAUUUAUAUAUAAAGAUUUCAAUAUAUCAUUUUAUAUAAAGAUCUCUAUUUAAAGAAAACCACAAUUCUCCCUUCAAUUUCACCUCUAAAUAUCACCUUUUUUUCUUUAUUUUUCCAACAAUAAAAUUGAUUUUUUUUUUCGUUCUUGUCAUCCUUAAUUAAUUUUUUUGUUAUUCUUGUCUAAUUUCUAGCUACCGGAGGCAAAAUUAUUGCUUCAUCUAUCAUAUGAAAGCCAGAAGGAAAGGAAGUUAAGGAAUUAAAGAGGAGAAUUUAAUUUUAUGAACUUGUUCUAACAAAGGUUUGUGCAUGUAACAGCUAAACAAAACCUCAAUCAUAGUU
rnacentral:misc_RNA from 1 species